GUGAGGACUGCUCCUUACCCUCACUAUCUGCCCCUCAAGGCUAGGACUGCUUAGGCCUAAGAAGGGGACGGAAGCCACCAGUGAUGCCACGUAGACCUCAGCCAGAGACUGGAAAUCUGGCCCCUCCAGUCCGCUAGGGACCCUGGAUCCCUAUGGGGCUUGUCCUCUGGGGUAGCUUCUUCACACUCUCGAAUGUUCUGAGAGAGGCCCAGGGCCAAGGGUGCUAGGGCCCUGUGCCUGGCUAAGACUUUCUGAGAGAAAGGCCAGGGAGUGAUGUAUCAGGGCACUGAGCCUCCUAAGACUCUCUGAGAGAGAGGCCCAGGGCCCAGAGCCAUUGCUUCAGGCUUCGCCUGUCCUCUCCCUGAGCGAGGCGCAGCCCUUUGGUGAUGGGCUCUCUGUGCGGGAGCUUCAGCUCAGACGUGCUGACGCUGGGCCAGACUUUGAGGCUAGCAUAGUCAUUAAUGAUGUCAUGCUGACACUGACAAGUCACAGGCAUUGUUCUUCUUCUUUGAAUGCUAAUUGUCUCUGUGUUUUCUUUCAGUUUCACCAUAAUCUUUGCCUCCAGAUACAUAUCAAUCAACGCAGCAGAUUUCUUUUUAAAACCUGGUAUUGAAUAUUGAAUAUCUUUCCCCAUUUUAACCUUACAUUACUCUCCCAAGGGCAAAUAUGAAAACUCAAGGUAUCUGAGGCCCGGACACACCUCCAUGACCAGCAGACUGCCUCGAGGCUGGAGACUCUGUGCUUCCUGCCAUCAGCAGAUCCAGCCCCAGAAAGAGAUCAGUUUACAAUCAUUUCUGAAAACUGCCAGAAAUGGAUGGCCUGUUCUAAGCUGGCUUACCCAGUAAGGACGGGGGCCGCAGCCAGGAAGCUGGUCUGGAACCUGGCGGGCCCUGGAUUCUCUAAGAGAUUCUUCUAGAAACAGACCCCUCAGAUGCUUCCUCUCACUUCAGGACCGAGCGAUCUGUAACUCGAGCCGCCUGGAGGCCAGCUCUGGGGAUGCACAGCCUAGCCAUGAGGAAGAGCCAGCCCAGCUGGCCCACGUGUGGUCUUGACACAGCCCCUGGUGAGAGUCAAGGGCUUGGUGGGCACAACACUGCUCCAGCCAGGGCCCAGGGACAUCCCUGGCCUUGUCCGCAGGUGUUUAAGGGGGGACCCACUGUGCCGCAAUGGUGGCGGGAAUGCCCAGGACACAGAUGAUGGAGCUGUACAUGAGCCAGGGCUGCGGGGAGCAGGAACAAUGGAGCCAGGGCUCAAAGCUCCGUAAUGUAGAGCAAGCCCCGCAUAAUGCAGUUUGCAAACUGUCCGAAAGGCUUUCUGGGAAGAACAGUAGGUGGCGUGAAAGAGCCAGGAGAAGCUGAGGCAGAGCUCUGUGCCCAGGAACAUCCCCAGCCCACCUGCCCCAGCAGGGGCCCAAAGUACCUCUGCUCUGAGCAAGGUCAAGGUUCACAGAAAGAGAAACAGCAAAAAGAACAAGUAAGCAGAGCCAUGCAGUGAGAGCCCUUUUCUGUGCGGGUGUAGACGCUGCUGGGAGCAGCCUGCGCAGAGGGCCUGGCCUGUGCCCUGCAGCAGGAAGCUGUCCUGGAGCCGGUCAGGGAGCACGGGCUACAGUGCGGGCCUCAGCGUCCCUCCCAGACCUCAUGCACCCACUCCAUCUCCUCCCUGGCUGGCUGGGUGCUCAAAGCCGAAGGGCAGGCCCCCCACCUCCCCCUCCCCCUGGGACACUGCACAUGCUCCUCUUCAGCGCUGGUUGGGUCAGCGAUUCCCCAGGAGCAGUUCUCCAGCAGGUGCCCCAGCUCAGCCAGGUCACUCUGUUACUGGAACGAGCCCUGUUGCACUCGGCCACCACUGGUCCAUUCUGAGUAGAGAUCUAGCUGGUACCUCAAUGCCCUGCACCUCCAGCUGGGGAACAGCCUGGGUGUGUCACCCCAGGGAGCAGAGACCUCCUUGUGAGGUUAGGCAAGCCGGCAACGCCUGAGCUGGGGCACACCGCCCUCCCACUACACCCCGCAGCGGGCCAGGCGGCCUGCAGCUGAGCCUCCUGAUCGUCAUGCUCUACCAGGCACCGUUCUUCUGAUGGCAACUGACAGUGGGUCUCAAGGCUCAGAGCACAGGACUGGCCUGCAGGGAGCAGACACUCAUUCCAAGACCCCACUACUGCUGGCUCCAUCCUGAGCCUGUCAGAGAGCAGCUGCUGCCUAAACAGGCCUCAUCUGAGUGUGCUCCAGCCUCAUGCAGAGCACAAGGCAUGUCUGCAGGUGUCCCGGAGCGUUCCCCUCACCAGGAAUGGCCAUCAGGAUAGAAGAGAAUGUCUUUAGUGAAAGAGACCACUCCAGGGAACUCAGCCAGCCAUGCAAAGACUAUCGAGUUAUUCCAAGGUCCCGAAUCAGAGCUGCAGACUUUGUAACAGCCAGAGAGUCGAUGGCUUAAGGUGUGUAUUUAAACUCCAAUCUCUUCUCAUUAGUUCAGCGUCAUGGACAAUAUGUGAGCAAAUAGGUGAGGCUAUAUUCCAAUAAAGCAGUGAUUGUAGA